CACCGGAUAGCCUAGUGGUUAAGGGCAGAACCUCUAAUUCUGAGGUCCAGGUUCAAAUCCUGGUCUGGUCA
rnacentral:tRNA from 1 species